AUAUACUUAUGAGACCACUUUCAUUGCACAAAUCUUAAUUACAAGCUAGAGAAACAGAAAUAGACACGGUAUCUAUCUAAUGGUAUAAUGCCUGUGUCAAAAGUUGAGGACCAUUACGUAAGACUGAACGACGAAUGAACUAGGAGUGAUGAGUGAAUAGUGAUUAGUGGGAAACGUACUCUGCACUAGCAGUAUAAGCAGCCAGUGGAUUGAACACCUGAGUGGUCUCUCUGUCUUCUCUGUUAUUGCCAUACCAAAACCUCUGCUGUACUUCCUAAACCAGCUGGGACGACAACAUCUUCAUUCCUUAACCCGUUGGCAUGUGACUUCCACGUGUUCAAUAUUAAAGCUCCCAUCACAUGCCAUGGUCUCAUUGGCAAAUGGCAAAUGGCAAAUAGCAGGCGGGAACCUCCAUUCUUCAAUCAAAUUAUGCUACUCGAAUAAACCAGAAAAUUCUUUAGCAAAGUAAUCAAUCAUGGGUUAGAGAUGAGAGAGGUACAACUUUGUCCUUUGAUAAAGUUUUCUUAUCCUCUAAUCUCAGCUGCUUCCAGCCCCAAACAAAAU
rnacentral:lncRNA from 1 species